UACGAAGGGUGCAAACGUUGCUCGGAAUUAUUGGGCGUAAAGCGCGUGUAGGCGGCUCGGUAAGUCCGCUGUGAAAGUCGGGGGCUCAACCCUCGGAUGCCGGUGGAUACUGUCGGGCUAGAGUACGGAAGAGGCGAGUGGAAUUCCUGGUGUAGCGGUGAAAUGCGCAGAUAUCAGGAGGAACACCAAUUGCGAAGGCAGCUCGCUGGGACGUUACUGACGCUGAGACGCGAAAGCGUGGGGAGCAAACAGG
rnacentral:rRNA from 1 species